GCGUCGGUGGCAGAGUGGUCAAUUGCAACUGACUGUAAAUCAGUCGCCCUUAGGGCUACGUAGGUUCAAAUCCUACCCGGCGCA
rfam:Parcubacteria bacterium RAAC4_OD1_1 O210_OD1C00001, whole genome shotgun sequence.